GACGAACGCUGGCGGCGCGCCUAACACAUGCAAGUCGAACGAGCGAGAGAGAGCUUGCUUUCUUGAGCGAGUGGCGAACGGGUGAGUAACGCGUGAGGAACCUGCCUCAAAGAGGGGAACAACAGUUGGAAACGACUGCUAAUACCGCAUAAGCCCACGACCCGGCAUCGGGUAGAGGGAAAAGGAGCAAUCCGCUUUGAGAUGGCCUCGCGUCCGAUUAGCUAGUUGGUGAGGUAACGGCCCACCAAGGCGACGAUCGGUAGCCGGACUGAGAGGUUGAACGGCCACAUUGGGACUGAGACACGGCCCAGACUCCUACGGGAGGCAGCAGUGGGGAAUAUUGCACAAUGGGGGAAACCCUGAUGCAGCGACGCCGCGUGGAGGAAGAAGGUCUUCGGAUUGUAAACUCCUGUUGUUGAGGAAGAUAAUGACGGUACUCAACAAGGAAGUGACGGCUAACUACGUGCCAGCAGCCGCGGUAAAACGUAGGUCACAAGCGUUGUCCGGAAUUACUGGGUGUAAAGGGAGCGCAGGCGGGAAGACAAGUUGGAAGUGAAAUCCAUGGGCUCAACCCAUGAACUGCUUUCAAAACUGUUUUUCUUGAGUAGUGCAGAGGUAGGCGGAAUUCCCGGUGUAGCGGUGGAAUGCGUAGAUAUCGGGAGGAACACCAGUGGCGAAGGCGGCCUACUGGGCACCAACUGACGCUGAGGCUCGAAAGUGUGGGUAGCAAACAGGAUUAGAUACCCUGGUAGUCCACACUGUAAACGAUGA
rnacentral:rRNA from 1 species